rnacentral:misc_RNA from 1 species
GAUGAAGAACGCAGCGAAAUGCGAUAAGUAAUGUGAAUUGCAGAAUUCAGUGAAUCAUCGAAUCUUUGAACGCACAUUGCGCCCGCUGGUAUUCCGGCGGGCAUGCCUGUUCGAGCGUCAUUUCAACCCUCAAGCUCUCCGGAGUUUGGUGUUGGGGCGCCUGGGGCUUUUCGACCUCAGGGCCCUCAAGUCCAUCGGCGGGACCGCCAGGACACUGAGCGCAGUAGUAUUAUUUCGCUCGGUAGGAUCUUCCACGGCGGGUCGAUCUGGCCGCUAAACCCCCCAAUUCGCACCAAAGGUUGACCUCGGAUCAGGUAGGAAUACCCGCUGAACUUAAGCAUAUCAAUAAGCGGAGGA